AUUGAACGCUGGCGGCAUGCCUUACACAUGCAAGUCGAACGGCAGCGCGUCCUUCGGGAUGGCGGCGAGUGGCGAACGGGUGAGUAAAGCAUCGGAACGUGCCCGGUAGUGCGGGAUAGCUCGGCGAAAGCCGGAUUAAUACCGCAUGAGAUCCGUGGAUGAAAGCAGGGGGACCCCUUGUGGGCCUUGCGCUACUGGAGCGGCCGAUGUCAGAUUAGGUAGUUGGUGGGGUAAAGGCCCACCAAGCCUGCGAUCUGUAGCUGGUCUGAGAGGAUGAUCAGCCACAUCGGGACUGAGACACGGCCCGAACUCCUACGGGAGGCAGCAGUGGGGAAUUUUGGACAAUGGGCGCAAGCCUGAUCCAGCCAUGCCGCGUGCAGGAUGAAGGCCCUCGGGUUGUAAACUGCUUUUGUACGGAACGAAAAGCCUCUUUCUAAUAAAGAGGGGUGAUGACGGUACCGUAAGAAUAAGCACCGGCUAACUACGUG
rnacentral:rRNA from 1 species